UCCUCAGUAGCUCAGUGGUAGAGCGGUCGGCUGUUAACCGAUUGGUGUAGCUAGACCUAUUAGCUAGGGUU
rnacentral:tRNA from 1 species